CCUACGGGUGGCAGCAGUGAGGAAUAUUGGUCAAUGGGCGAUAGCCUGAACCAGCCAAGUAGCGUGAAGGAUGACUGCCCUAUGGGCUGUAAACUUCUUUUAUAUGGGAAUAAAGUGCAGUAUGUAGACUGCUUUGCAUGUACCUUAUGAAUAAGGAUAGGCUAACUCCGUGCCAGCAGCCGCGGUAAUACGGAGGAUCCGAGCGUUAUCCGGAUUUAUUGGGUUUAAAGGGAGCGUAGGCGGGUUGUUAAGUCAGUUGUGAAAGUUUUUGGCUCAACCGUAAAAUUGCAGUGGAUACUGGCAGACUUGAGUGCAGUAGAGGUGGGCGGAACUCGUGGUGUAGCGGUGAAAUGCUUAGAUAUCACGAAGAACCCCGAUUGCGAAGGCAGCCUGCUGGACUGUAACUGACGCUGAUGCUCGAAAGUGUGGGUAUCAAACAGGAUUAGAUACCCGUGUAGUC
rnacentral:rRNA from 1 species